AGCGAACGCUGGCGGCAGGCCUAACACAUGCAAGUCGAACGAACCUUUCGGGGUUAGUGGCGGACGGGUGAGUAACACGUGGGAACGUGCCUUUAGGUUCGGAAUAACUCAGGGAAACUUGUGCUAAUACCGAAUGUGCCCUUCGGGGGAAAGAUUUAUCGCCUUUAGAGCGGCCCGCGUCUGAUUAGCUAGUUGGUUGAGGUAAUGGCUCGCCAAGGCGACGAUCAGUAGCUGGUCUGAGAGGAUGAUCAGCCACAUUGGGACUGAGACACGGCCCAAACUCCUACGGGAGGCAGCAGUGGGGAAUCUUGCGCAAUGGGCGAAAGCCUGACGCAGCCAUGCCGCGUGAAUGAUGAAGGUCUUAGGAUUGUAAAAUUCUUUCACCGGGGACGAUAAUGACGGUACCCGGAGAAGAAGCCCCGGCUAACUUCGUG
rnacentral:rRNA from 1 species